rnacentral:rRNA from 1 species
AUACGGAGGGUGCAAGCGUUAUUCGGAAUCACUUGGCGUAAAGGACGCGUAGGCGGGUUGGCAAGUCAGAUGUGAAAUCCUACAGCUUAACUGUAGAACUGCAUUUGAAACUCCUAACCUAGAGUAUGGGAGGGGGAGAUGGAAUUAGUGGUGUAGGGGUAAAAUCCGUAGAUAUCACUAGGAAUACCGAAAGCGAAGGCGAUCUCCUGGAACAUAACUGACGCUAAGGCGUGAAAGCGUGGGGAGCAAACAGGAUUAGAAACCCUAGUAGUCC